rnacentral:tRNA from 1 species
GGUGGAUUAGCUCAGUGGGUAGAGCUUAUGGCUGAUGACCGUAAGGUCCCAGGUUCUAAUCUCGCCAGAGAGAUUA